UCGCUGGGUAGCUAUGUACGGAAGGGAUAAGCGCUGAAAGCAUCUAAGCGUGAAGCCCCCCUCAAGAUGAGAUUUCCCAAUUAGUAAGACCCCUUGAAGACGACGAGGUAGAUAGGUUGGGGGUGGAAGUGCAGUAAUGCAUGGAGCUGACCAAUACUAAUCGGUCGAGGGCUUAUCCUAAA
rnacentral:rRNA from 1 species